rnacentral:rRNA from 1 species
CAGCAGCCGCGGUAAUACGGAGGGUCCGAGCGUUAUCCGGAAUUAUUGGGUUUAAAGGGUCCGUAGGCGGGCCAUUAAGUCAGGGGUGAAAGUCUGCGGCUCAACCGUAGAAUUGCCUUUGAUACUGGUGGUCUUGAGUUAUGGUGAAGUGGCUGGAAUAUGUAGUGUAGCGGUGAAAUGCAUAGAUAUUACAUAGAACACCGAUUGCGAAGGCAGGUCACUAACCAUAUACUGACGCUGAUGGACGAAAGCGUGGGGAGCGAACAGGAUUAGAUACCCUGGUAGUCCACGCCGUAAACGAUGGAUACUAGCUGUCCGGGUCCUUGAGACCUGGGCGGCCAAGCGAAAGUGAUAAGUAUCCCACCUGGGGAGUACGUUCGCAAGAAUGAAACUCAAAGGAAUUGACGGGGGCCCGCACAAGCGGUGGAGCAUGUGGUUUAAUACGAUGAUACGCGAGGAACCUUACCAGGGCUUAAAUGCAUAUAGACAGGGGUAGAGAUACCUUUUCCUUCGGGCAAUUUGCAAGGUGCUGCAUGGUUGUCGUCAGCUCGUGCCGUGAGGGGUCAGGUUAAGUCCUAUAACGAGCGCAACCCCUACCGUUAGUUGCCAGCGAGUCAUGUCGGGGACUCUAACGGGACUGCCGGUGCAAACCGUGAGGAAGGUGGGGAUGACGUCAAAUCAUCACGGCCCUUACGUCCUGGGCCACACACGUGCUACAAUGGCCGGUACAGAGAGCAGCCACUUGGCAACAAGGAGCGAAUCUACAAAACCGGUCACAGUUCGGAUCGGGGUCUGCAACUCGACCCCGUGAAGCUGGAAUCGCUAGUAAUCGGAUAUCAGCCAUGAUCCGGUGAAUACGUUCCCGGGCCUUGUACACACCGCCCGUCAAGCCAUGGAAGCCGGGAGUGCCUGAAGUCCGUCACCGUAAGGAGCGGCCUAGGGCAAGAUCGGUAACUAGGGCUAAGUCGUAACAAGGUAGCCGUA